CACGUCUCUGUGUGAAACUGUGGCUGGAUCUUGUUCAAUACUUUCUCCAUAAGAGCAUACGCCUGUUAUCUAACUGAAGGUUGAUGCCGACUCGACUCUAGAAAAAAUAAUGUUCCACGUGUCGUUAGUUUAUGUAUGUGUUCUUGACACUAUUGUAGAAAAUGUCAAAAUUUCCGACACUUCAAGAAGCUCUUGAUCUAGUGCUGGCAGGUGAUGCAGAUAUUAUCAGCAUUUUACCGCCAGAAGAUAACCAACUGCUUACAGACGAAAAAAAAUAUUGAUGAUGAUUUGCUUGAAAGCAAUGAGAAUGUACAACCGACGAACACAGUUUAUCGCAUUAUGUUUCUGGGAGAGUAUAUGUCAGUAAAAAUGACAUGGAUGAAGAUUAUGGUGAUAAUGAACCACUAGGUUCAUCCCGUGAAAAUUUGAGCACUAAGCACAAAAAAGGGAAAAUAUUAGAUCGCAUGGAAGUGAAAUGAAGAAAAUGAAAAACUAAAAACUUUCCUCAAAAGAAUUAUAUUAGACCACUGACUGAGUACUACCCAGAGCUAUGCUCACUUCCCCCUGGUGAAAUGUUUUUAAUAAAGAUAUUUAAAAUAUGAUAGUAGAAGAAAUACUCAGGUAUGCUCAAUAAAAUGCAAAUUCCCUAAAUUUACAAAUAACAAUGCAAGUCUCUUAUAUUUUUCUGGCAUAUUCAUUUCGUCAGGUUACCAUAAACUUCCAAGAGGGAAAUGAACAAGGAAAGAUCAAAUGAUGUUAUUGUUCCACGUUUCAAAAAUAAUGUCUAGAAACAUAUUUCGAUAAACAAAACGUUACUUACACAUAUCAACUAAUAACAACUUGGACACCACAGAUGAAGUUGCAAACUGAGACCACUCCUCGAAUUGACAAAUAAAUCAUUGCAACAGUUUGAUGUUUUUCAGGAGAAUCUUUCAAUUGAUGAAUGUAUGGUCCAAUAUUUUGUAAAAUAAUUAUUCAAGGAAAUUCAAUAAAGUUUGGUUACAAACUGUGGUGUUUAUAUUCACCCUAUGGUUAUCCUUUCAAGUUUUAUAUCUGUUGUAGUAGGAUAAUGUCUACUGAUGACGUCCUCUAGGUACAAGGGUUGUUGAAGAUAUGCUUUCUUGUAUUAACGAUCUUAGUAUUCAUACAGUUUUGUUUGACAAUUUUUCCCCUUCUGUAAUUUCAUGUCGAGAUUCCAAGAAAAAAUGUGAGAGCAACAGGGGCAGUUUGGG